CUUUCAAUCGCCAAACAAAAGUAGAAACAAGCGAAAUCGUGCAUUCAAAAUGUAUCUCGACGACAUGCUUCCAACAGCAAUAUCGUCGAUUGGAUCGUCUCUCGCUUCGUCGUCCAUCCUCGAGGCAGCAUCAUCUACAAUUGCCACCACUACGUCAACCAUGAUUUCGCCUUCUUCGUCCUCCCAAAUACUCAUUCCGCCUCCAUCUACCAUCACCUCAUUUCCGCCACUCUCACCAACCACGGUCGCAACCCUUCUCAGCACGACUUCC
rnacentral:ribozyme from 1 species